UAGGGAAUCUUCCACAAUGGACGCAAGUCUGAUGGAGCAACGCCGCGUGAGUGAAGAAGGUUUUCGGAUCGUAAAGCUCUGUUGUUGGUGAAGAAGGAUAGAGGCAGUAACUGGUCUUUAUUUGACGGUAAUCAACCAGAAAGUCACGGCUAACUACGUGCCAGCAGCCGCGGUAAUACGUAGGUGGCAAGCGUUGUCCGGAUUUAUUGGGCGUAAAGCGAGCGCAGGCGGAAUGAUAAGUCUGAUGUGAAAGCCCACGGCUCAACCGUGGAACUGCAUCGGAAACUGUCAUUCUUGAGUGCAGAAGAGGAGAGUGGAAUUCCAUGUGUAGCGGUGGAAUGCGUAGAUAUAUGGAAGAACACCAGUGGCGAAGGUGGCUCUCUGGUCUGCAACUGACGCUGAGGCUCGAAAGCAUGGGUAGCGAACAGG
rnacentral:rRNA from 1 species